CGGCCAGCGGCGAGUGGAGGGAGGACGGAGGAGGAGGCCGGUACCGAGUCCAGCGAGGAGGAUGAGGCAACAGCGGUGCAGAUCGGGGGAGGGGCGACGGGGGAGGGGCAACGGGGGAGGACCAGCGGCGAGGGGGGUGAGGAGGAGACCGUGAGUGUGUGUGAGUGUGAUCUGUGGAUGAGGCUAGUGAGAUCUGUAGUUAAUUUAGCAUUAUUGCCUGAAUGCGCUGCUGCUACGUUACGUAGCAGUAGCGCUGUCUAUUUUCAUGCGCUGCUGCUAUAACUGGCCUUGCGGCGGCGUCGUGGGAAUUUUAGCAGUAGCGCCACUUGAAGUGCGCGCGCUACUGAUAAACUUGUUUCAGCAGCGAGUUUCCACAGCCCGCGCUACUGCUACUUAGCAGCAGCGCCUAAUUUUAUAGCGCGCUGCUGGUAAGAUUCUGUGUAUAGACUUUUCCCUAGUAGUGCCAAGCCAUGCAAGAUACAAAUAAUUGUUGACUUGGCAUUAUCUCUUUCUUCAUGGUGUUUCGAUUGUGCAAUUGUGUUGUUAAUUUGGUUUAACAACUUCAAAGGGCACUGAGAAUGAACUUUGAAUUCUACAAAAAUCACUGCUACCUUGCGACCAUAAUUUACCUUUAGAGCUCAGGAGGUGGCGUCAUCACCAUUCCUGCCGCCCUCCGGCUGGGCCGUCGAGGACCUCCUACAGUUCUCCUACGUGCACCAUCGAGGGCACUGAAGGUCUAUCACAAAUCAAUCAGGUGAACCUUUAAUUCAGUCGGUGGUAUUCUGUGGUUUGCAUGACUAAUACUGUACCUUUGGUACUUGGUGGUGGAUCUGAACUUUUUGAUCUGAAAUUUCAUCUACUAACCAAUCUUCCUCUGAUACAUAGUACUAGAAACAUUUUUUGGGACAGGAAGAAAUUGCUAUUCCGGAGUUUACUUAAUCAUUUGAAAAUUCCUUUGGGAAAUACAAGUGAACUGGAGCCUGAAACUUAUUCUCAUAUAUAGAUAUAGGAGGAAAUGGGACUGAUGUAAGAGUGUGUUUGUUUAGACCUGUAUACUUAUGAGGAGGUUCAUAUUUAGACCAAGAUUAGAAUUUGACUACAUGCCUAAGUUUUCCUGGUUGAGAAAUUAGAAUUCAUUGUCCCUCAUAAAGUUUAUGUUUAGUGGGUGCACGCGCAUUAGAGAUUAAAUAUGAACCGUGGGGCUUCCAGCAAUCUAGAAUUGUAGUGUUCGGAUUAUCUUAGGUUGCCGAUUACUGUACUGAAAAUGUGUAAUUAGAUAUGACAUGUACAUAAGAAUUGUGCAGCAAUCUUGUCUUACAAAGUAGGAUCAAGAGGGAUACUAAAGAAAUGAAGAUGCAGAGUCUCUGUUUCUUAGGAUUACUUCUCAUGUUCAUGUCGGCUUCCUUGGCUUUACUUCAUACCACCAGAUGCAUUAAACUGGACCGUAUCAAGAGGUAAGGCUACCCCCUUGAUUAGAAUUGCCUUAUUUGUGCUAUUUGGUCAGUGUGUGUUUUAUGUAUGAUGAUGUCACGUAGCCUGGAAUAAAGGUGGGUUGUGCCUGCCUAGGCACUAGCUCCAGUGAUAUAGGUUGGAAAUCAGAAUAUAUGCUUGAUUCUUAGAGAAAACUUUACACGCAGACUUCGUGGGCUCAUGUGUUGUUUCAACAUAAUUGCAUAGCAAUCCAGUGAAUUAUGUAAGAUUCAGUAGGAGGUAUUGUAGAUGUACAACUAUUUCAGUUGCAUGAUUCUAUACAUCUAAAAAGGGUAUAGAGAUUCUGUAACUAUUGUUAGAGAAUAUAUCUCGCUGCUGCUCUGUAAAGGUGUGUAAUCUCUACUGCGUUCCAAUAAAGAGAAUUUUACCAUGCAGAGGGAUCCAAUGAAGAAACUAAUCCUGCUGAGUUCCAAUAAAUAAAUCCUUCGGAGGAUCUGCUCUAAUACAGCUGUCGUGUAUUGGAACAGAGAAAUCAUAUAAACUAGAUUCAAUCGGAUUUAUUUUAUUUCAUGACAGAGAAAUCAUAUACCUUUUGCUAUUUUGGCACAUACAUUUAUUCUUACUUACUUGUGCAGUUUGGAAUGAUCCAACAUAUUGAAGUUAUCAAACAAGAAUACUUACUAUUUAAGGCCUUAUUUGCAGGUUAUUUGCACCGCCUCUCUUUCUUUGUAUACACGUCUCUUUCCUCCAACAAUAAUAGUGAACAACUUUUUCCGGAUCAGGUAUUACAUUGCUACAAAUAUAUGUGGAAGCUACUCCUUACAACAAGGAAAAAGAGGAUGAAUGCUUUCUAUCUUCACCAGUUUUGUAGCAUGUUCCAAAUUGUUAUCUCUUUCCAAUGGAAAUUCUAAAACUAAAUGAGUUGGCCUAGAAUUAUGAAUCUGUGUUCAGGCUUGCUUAUGACAUAAGCAUUAUGUUUAUUUUUGAACAGGAGUCAUGCAUGUCCAGUUAUAUUUUCAUUCAUCCAUUUUCCUGGAUCAGCACUCCUACACACUGAUCACUAGCAGUUUGAGGUUCUUAUCUAAUCAAAAUCCAUCAUGCUACCAGAACACAAAAAUGAGGAAACAAUUUCUUGGAGAACCUCACAUGGACCAUCCAACACGUCUCAAUUUCGCGGAAAAUAGGCAGAUCAUCAACAAGCUCUCACAACAUUGCUCAUCAGGCUCUAAACUCUGAAUUUGAGUAUGUCCUCUGCUCUAAUUGUUCAGCUGUCCUCUGCUAUAAUUGUUCAGCUCAUACAGAUAGCCCUUGUAGGAUCAUAGAUAGGGCCAGGAAUGCAAAUGUUGCAGGCUAUGUAAUUCACGCUGUAAUUGAUAGCCCUUGUGUCAUACAUUUUCUUUUCCCCAUUUCUCUUAAUUGA